CAGUAGCCACGGUAAUACGUAGGGUGCAAGCGUUAACCGGAAUUACUGGGCGUAAAGCGUGCGCAGGCGGUUCGUUAAGACAGAUGUGAAAUCCCCGGGCUUAACCUGGGAACUGCAUUUGUGACUGGCGGGCUAGAGUAUGGCAGAGGGGGGUAGAAUUCCACGUGUAGCAGUGAAAUGCGUAGAGAUGUGGAGGAACACCAGUGGCGAAGGCAACUCUCUGGUCUGUAACUGACGCUGAGGAGCGAAAGCGUGGGGAGCGAACAGGAUUAGAUACCCGCGUAGUCCCUGUCUCUUAUAC
rnacentral:rRNA from 1 species